rnacentral:rRNA from 1 species
GAUGAACGCUGGCGGCGUGCUUAACACAUGCAAGUCGAACGAAGCACUUUAUUUGAUUUCCUUCGGGACUGAUUAUUUUGUGACUGAGUGGCGGACGGGUGAGUAACGCGUGGGUAACCUGCCUUGUACAGGGGGAUAACAGUUGGAAACGGCUGCUAAUACCGCAUAAGCGCACAGCAUCGCAUGAUGCAGUGUGAAAAACUCCGGUGGUAUAAGAUGGACCCGCGUUGGAUUAGCUAGUUGGUGAGGUAACGGCCCACCAAGGCGACGAUCCAUAGCCGACCUGAGAGUGUGACCGGCCACAUUGGGACUGAGACACGGCCCAAACUCCUACGGGAGGCAGCAGUGGGGAAUAUUGCACAAUGGGCGAAAGCCUGAUGCAGCGACGCCGCGUGAGCGAAGAAGUAUUUCGGUAUGUAAAGCUCUAUCAGCAGGGAAGAUAAUGACGGUACCUGACUAAGAAGCACCGGCUAAAUACGU